UUAGUUUUCAGCUCUCAAUUAAAUGCACGAGAAAUUAUCGGUGUUUUUUCUUUCGUGUGAAAUAGUAGUCAGCAAGAAAUUUUGAAAUUUCAUAUCGCACUGUGAAUGCUAAACAGUAGAAGAAGAAAAGUGUUAAAAAAUUAAUCAAAAAAAAAAAAAUUUCUUUAAGCAAGAGUAAUUGGUGGUCCUUUUUAGUAUCUCGAAUGGAGGACGAUUUCAUCGCUACUAAAGUCAAGUUAGCCGUUGUACUAAAGUACUUGGCUUCUGGAGAUUUACAACGCCAUAUUGCCUCCUGAUACCGUAUUAGCAAGCGGCACUUUUUAAGAAUCGUGUCCGAUGUGUGUAAGGGAAUUGCAAAAUGAAAUUCCAGAGUGAACACAUUGUUGGAUACAUAUCAUUGCUUUCAAACACAAUGGAAUUUUCCGAACUA